UCUUAGCUUUAGCUAACUCGGAGAAUCAUAGUAAUGAGACGUUUGAUUCUGUGUUGUGUUUUGUUUUGAACAAUUCUUGCCUACUAAGAAAGUUAAAGAGCGAGUUAAGUUUGUUCUGUGACAUCUUAUUCUUGUUGUUGUUCUGUUAAUUGUUCUUGUUAUUGUUCUGUUAAGUUAAAAACGUGUGGCUUGGUCUUGUUUUCUAAGCAGGUAACAUGACACAAGACGACGCAUGAAGUUGGUUGCUGUUUCUAAAAAAACACGAGGCAUGAAGUUGGUAGAAAGUGACUUGGGAGUGGAAGGAUCACGGACUUGUGUCUUGUGGUGUUUGUGUACUUUGUUGAUUGUAUCAUUACAGGGAAUCAGAAUCAUCCAAGCAGCAGCUGGUGCUGGCCGUACAAUGCUGAUAAGUGAUAGUGGAAACGUUUACUCGUGUGGGAAAGAUUCGUUCGGUGAAGCUGAAUACGGAGGGCAAGGGUCUAAUGUUCCUGGUCUUGUUGUCUAGUUCGUAUGUCAGGAUCACUCACUCUAUCUUCAAAGAACGUCAAGAAUGGCUCGAAAAAGGUGUGUGUGUGUGUUGGAGUGUCUGUUGUAGUGUCACGAGAAAUGUGUGUCUGUUGUAGUUGUUGUCUUGUGGUACAAACAGUUCGAGAUGAAGACAACAACUGAGAGUUCGACAUGUUUAUUUUAAAUUAUUUUCGUUUAUUGUACUAAUUUUUUUUUAUGUUUUUUUUAAUCUAUGUUUUAAAUGUUAUCUUUUAAUAUGUUUUAUUUAAUAAAUAAAUUUUAUCUUAAAAAAAAAUUUAAAUUCUUUUUUAAGAAUCUCUAAUUAAGAAACUCCCAUUGCACCACUCAAAAUAAGAGUUCUUAACUACAGUUCUUAACCCUACUAAAGUACAUUUAUAUAACUAAAUUAUCAUUAAGAAACCCAUUUAAAAGUCAUGGGAUAAUCAUGCUCUUAUAUUACAAUGGUAAGAAAUAUUUUUAACUAACUUAUAAAAUCUCUUAAUGAUUCCGAUGGAAAAAAUGUUAUAGCUUCCUGCGGAUAGAAACUGUCUGAUGUUGUAGCUAUUUGUCAUAGUUGUGGAGCCGGAAGUCUCAACGAUGUUGAGGAUCAGCUUUGCAUUUAUAAACUGGAUGUCUUUUUUUUAUGAGGGAUUUGCUAUUUUUGAUGUAAGU